AUAUUAAUAAGCGGAGGAAAAGAAACUAACAAGGAUUCCCUCAGUAACGGCGAGUGAAGCGGGAACAGCUCAAAUUUGAAAUCGGGAAGGUUGCACCUUCUUGAAUUGUAGUCUAGAGAAGUGUCUACGGUAGCCGGGUCGGUAUAAGUUCCCUGGAAUGGGACGUCGCAGAGGGUGAGAAUCCCGUGUGUGACCGAUCGCAGGCGACCAUCAGUGGCAUCUUCCAAGAGUCGAGUUGCUUGGGAAUGCAGCUCAAAACGGGUGGUAAACUUCAUCUAAAGCUAAAUACAGGCGAGAGACCGAUAGCGCACAAGUA
rnacentral:rRNA from 1 species